CUUAAUUUGACUCAACACGGGAAAUCUUACCGGGUCCGGACGUAUCGAGGAUUGACAGAUAGUUAUACAUGCCCUACAAGCAAGUAGGAGUCAGGUUUUAAACCUAAUGGCUCUUUCAUGAUUAUAUGAUAGGUGGUGCAUGGCCGUUCUUAGUUCGUGGAGUGAUCUGUCUGCUUAAUUGCGUUUCAAAUUUUUAACCGAGGACCGGGUUUUGGUUUGGCUAGUGGUCCUACGAUGACUGUGAACUGUCAUGUCUUCGGAUGUACGACUAUCGGUCUAGGAUCACAUGACUUGCCCCUGGGACUCUUUUGAACGCAACGGACGUGAUUGCAACCCCUUGUUGAGAUUAGAGAUAGUCUCGAUAUUCACUGGCCAAACUGGCUGCUUUAUGCAGUCUUGUUGAAUGGUGGAUAAACUCGGGGGACUGCUGACUAUAACCAUUUCUCAAAACAGAGGAAGGUUGCGGCAAUAACAGGUC
rnacentral:rRNA from 1 species